rnacentral:tRNA from 1 species
GCGGCGGUAGUUCAGUGGUAGAACAUCUCCUUGCCAAGGAGAGGGUCGAGGGUUCGAGUCCCUUCCGCCGCUCCA